rnacentral:rRNA from 1 species
UACGGAGGGUGCAAGCGUUAUCCGGAUUCACUGGGUUUAAAGGGUGCGUAGGCGGGCAGGUAAGUCCGUGGUGAAAUCUCUGAGCUUAACUCAGAAACUGCCAUGGAUACUAUUUGUCUUGAAUGUUGUGGAGGUAAGCGGAAUAUGUCAUGUAGCGGUGAAAUGCUUAGAUAUGACAUAGAACACCCAUUGCGAAGGCAGCUUACUACGGGAUCAUUGACACUGAGGCACGAAAGCGUGGGGAUCAAACAGGA